UUAGGAAUCUUCCACAAUGGGCGAAAGCCUGAUGGAGCAACACCGCGUGCUGGAUGAAGGCCUUCGGGUCGUAAACAGCUUUUGUAUACGAAGAAUAUGACGGUAAUAUACGAAUAAGGGUCGGCUAACUACGUGCCAGCAGCCGCGGUCAUACGUAGGACCCAAGCGUUAUCCGGAGUGACUGGGCGUAAAGAGUUGCGUAGGCGGUCUUUUAAGCGAGUAGUGAAAGCUGGUGGCUCAACCAUCAACACAUUGCUCGAACUGGGAGACUUGAGAAUGGUAGAGGUAGUUGGAAUUUCUUGUGUAGGAGUGAAAUCCGUAGAUAUAAGAAGGAACACCAAUGGCGUAGGCAGACUACUGGACCAUUUCUGACGCUGAGGCACGAAAGCGUGGGGAGCGAACC
rnacentral:rRNA from 1 species